GAAACGAGUAGAGUGGCGCACGGGUGAGUAACGCGUAGGUAAUCUACCCUUAUAUUUGGGAUAACAGACCGAAAGGUCUGCUAAUACCGGAUAGUCUUUUUUUAAUGCGAGUUAGAGAGAGUAAAGGUGGCCUCUUCAUGAAAGCUACCGUAUAGGGAUGAGCCUGCGUACCAUUAGCUAGUAGGUGGGGUAACGGCCCACCUAGGCAACGAUGGUUAGCGGGUCUGAGAGGAUGAUCCGCCACACUGGAACUGGAACACGGACCAGACUCCUACGGGAGGCAGCAGUGAGGAAUAUUGCGCAAUGGGGGCAACCCUGACGCAGCGACGCCGCGUGAGUGAGGAAGGUUUUCGGAUCGUAAAGCUCUGUCAGAAGGGAAGAAGUGUUAUAUGGUUAACACCCAUAUAAUUUGACGGUACCUUCAGAGGAAGCACCGGCUAACUCCGUGCCAGCAGCCGCGGUAAUACGGAGGGUGCAAGCGUUGUUCGGAAUUACUGGGCGUAAAGGGCGCGUAGGCGGCUUGAUAAGUCAGAUGUGAAAGUCCAUGGCUCAACUGUGGAAGUGCAUUUGAAACUGUCUGGCUUGAGUAUUGGAGGGGAAAGUGGAAUUCCCGGUGUAGAGGUGAAAUUCGUAGAGAUCGGGAGGAACACCUGUGGC
rnacentral:rRNA from 1 species